rnacentral:misc_RNA from 1 species
UGGGUAUUAAGAGGGGUUUGAAGGAUCAGAAGGAAUUGGAUUUGUGUGCUGAGGGUUUUGAAAUUGGGAGAUUGAGCAAGUUGAUGGGCUCAGAUUCAUCAAAUUAUACUGCUGAAUUGGAGCAUUUAUAUGAUAAAAUGCUUCUUAAGCUUGAUAAUUUGGCUAGAUCGGUGGAAACGAGCUCUGCUAAGGUUCUCGAACAGGAAAAGCAUAACAUGAAAUUAAGGUACAAAAUUGCAGGCUUGGAAUGAAUUUUGAUAAUUCAGGCGGAAUCUCCUUUUGUAAGAUCAGCUGCCGGUGAGGAUGGGUGAUGAAGCCUUUAAGGAACAUAAUUGGUGCUUGUAGGUGUGCAUUUUUGAUGAACUGAGUUGUGAAGAUCUUCAUUACUUUUUAUGCCAUUCCCAAUGUAUUUUUAGCUAUGUAAGUUUAGCUUUGUCUCUAUGAAAAGACGGCCAAUCGUUGUUCAUAUUCUCAAAUCGGUUGAAAUUUCUGCUUAGUUUUGG